GAUGAAGAACGUAGCGAACUGCGAUAAGUAAUGUGAAUUGCAGAAUUCAGUGAAUCAUCGAGUCUUUGAACGCACAUUGCGCCCUUUGGCAUUCCGAAGGGCAUGCCUGUUCGAGCGUCAUUUAUCAACCCUCAAGCCCGGCUUGCGGUUGGGUCCCGCCGUGGGCGACCACGGCGGACCCGAAAGGUAAUGGCGGUGCCCGUGGGGCCCUGGACGCAGCGAGCUUCUCGGCACGCGUCCCGGCGGUCCCCGGCGCCGUCUCCACCAAUCCACCACGCAGAUUGACCUCGGAUCAGGUAGGGAUACCCGCUGAACUUAAGCAUAUCAAUAAGCGGAGGA
rnacentral:misc_RNA from 1 species